AUUGAACGCUGGCGGCAUGCCUUACACAUGCAAGUCGAACGGUAACAGGUCUUCGGAUGCUGACGAGUGGCGAACGGGUGAGUAAUACAUCGGAACGUGCCUAGUAGUGGGGGAUAACUACUCGAAAGAGUGGCUAAUACCGCAUGAGAUCUACGGAUGAAAGCAGGGGAUCGCAAGACCUUGUGCUACUAGAGCGGCCGAUGGCAGAUUAGGUAGUUGGUGGGAUAAAAGCUUACCAAGCCGACGAUCUGUAGCUGGUCUGAGAGGACGAUCAGCCAACCUGGGACUGAGAAACGGCCCAGACUCCUACGGGAGGCAGCAGUGGGGAAUUUUGGACAAUGGGCGAAAGCCUGAUCCAGCAAUGCCGCGUGCAGGAUGAAGGCCUUCGGGUUGUAAACUGCUUUUGUACGGAACGAAAAGCCCCGGGUUAAUACCCUGGGGUCAUGACGGUACCGUAAGAAUAAGCACCGGCUAACUACGUGCCAGCAGCCGCCGUAA
rnacentral:rRNA from 1 species